UGAUUGGUCCCCUUGAGUAUAUCUAUAAAAAGCCUGCAUCUCUGGAUGAUGUAGAUAACAUACUAGUGGAGAACUCAGCCAACGCUUCAUUUGAAUAAAACUCUGAUGCCCCCUUUUUUCCCCUUCGGAUGCAGGGCACAUGCCUUCGAAUGAAGAGUUCUGAGUUAUGGCCGAAGAUAUUGUUGACAUUGCUGUUCUCCGAGUAUUGGCUAAGGCCUGCAAACUUGUAAUGAAUGAGGAUUGAGUUGAUGUAACUAAAGAUGAUGUAUUUCUUUGUGAGUGAUGCAAUUUGUUAUCCUGUUCUUCAUCUAUUUCUUUAUUAUUAUUGUUUUAUGCGAGGUGCAUUUGCAUCAAAGACCUUCGUUUUAUACUUCGGAACUCCCCCCCCCCUCAGGUGUUUGGUGCAAAGGAGUGAGCAUGAAACAAAUGCUUUCGUAGCCCUUUUGGCUUUUAUUCUUUUACCGAGGCCUUUCUCUAGGCCCAUCGGGUAUCUUGGCUUGCUUCGCGCGAGUACAUUGAUGCCAUUUUCUAGGCCUUCAGCAUUUCUGUUCUCUUUCAAGUUUGCGACUAAGUAAAAG
rnacentral:lncRNA from 1 species